rnacentral:tRNA from 1 species
ACUUUUAAAGGAUGACAGCUAUCCAUUGACCUUAGGAGUCAAAAAUAUUGGUGCAACUCCAAAUAAAAGUA